UUCUCAUUCUGCAGAGCACUGGCUUUCUCCAUCUCCAGAAGAGAAUAAAUGGCCUUCGGAGAAACUGAACGUUCCAAAGCCAACUGUGACAUCAUCUCACCUACCCUCUCUUGCAACUUCUGCCUUGCUCACUGGAACCCUUAAGCAUAGCCAGAAGGCACUAUAUAGAAAGUCCAACUGCCUGGAGCUAUCAUGUUCUGUAAAAGCCCAAACCUUGGCCCUUAUUGGUUGUGCAGUUCCAGUGGGAGUGAAAGAAGGAUAAGCCUGCACAGGGAUUGGCGCACAAGAUCAAAGGAAAAGAAGAGAAACAGUACAGCCGCUCUCCUCUGGAAAGCCUGAGGACACACAUGGAUCACUGCCAGCUGAGCUCCUCCUUUGGACUGAGCACCCGUGAAGACAAUCUUAUUAUGCACUCCAGGCUCUCAAAUCUGGAUUCUUGUGCUGCAAACUCAAAUGUUGAGACUACAGGUAUCCUUAUGCUGCAAAUGCUGAGACUACAGGCAUUGCUGCCCUGUGCCACCACACUGGACAAGAGCAGUUGAUAGCACGUCCCAGUGAUAGUCAUUUGCCUUACACCUGCUGGGGUAUGCAUCCCUUAUAGAAGGCACAGAACAGAAGAUGUAUGGAAUAGCUCCAGAGCUCAGGGCCCAGCCAACCUGAGUUAAGGUAUUAUGACUGACUACAGAUCUGUGCAGGGAUGUCCAGGAGCCAAACAUCUAUUCUGUUUAUUCCAGGUGAGAAAACUAGGUACCUGGAAAUCGGUAAUCUGAGGACCCACAGCCUCUAAGUCAGGUGUCAAAAUGUGUGAGAAGGGAAGAGCUAAUGCAGG